rnacentral:rRNA from 1 species
UACGUAGGGUGCAAGCGUUAAUCGGAAUUACUGGGCGUAAAGCGUGCGCAGGCGGCUAUUUAAGCUUGCUGUGAAAGCCCCGGGCUUAACCUGGGAACUGCAGUGAGGACUGGAUGGCUGGAGUGUGGCAGAGGGGGGUGGAAUUCCACGUGUAGCAGUGAAAUGCGUAGAGAUCGGAAGGAACGCCCGUGGCGAAAGCGAGCCCCUGGACGUCUGCUGACGCUGAGGCGCGAAAGCUAGGGGAGCGAACGGG